rnacentral:rRNA from 1 species
GAGCCCGCACAAGCAGCGGAGCGUGUGGUUUAAUUCGAUGAUACACGAAGAACCUUACCUGGGUUUGACAUGUACGUAGUAGUGAACCGAAAGGGGAACGACUCUUCGGAGAGCGUACACAGGUGCUGCAUGGCUGUCGUCAGCUCGUGCCGUGAGGUGUCGGGUUAAGUCCCGCAACGAGCGCAACCCUUAUUGCCAGUUAAAGAUUUCUGGCGAGACUGCUGGCAUAUAACCAGAGGAAGGUGGGGAUGACGUCAAGUCAGCAUGGCCUUUAUAUCCAGGGCUACACACACGCUACAAUGGCCGGUACAAAGGGACGCCAAGCCGCGAGGUGGAGCCAAUCUCAGAAAGCCGGUCUCAGUUCAGAUUGCAGGCUGCAACCCGCCUGCAUGAAGUUGGAGUUGCUAGUAACCGCAGGUCAGCAAUACUGCGGUGAAUACGUUCCCGGGCUUU